rnacentral:rRNA from 1 species
UACGUAGGGUGCCAGCGUUGUCCGGAAUUAUUGGGCGUAAAGGGCUCGUAGGCGGUCUGUCACGUCGGGAGUGAAAACUCGGGGCUUAACUCCGAGCCUGCUUCUGAUACGGGCAGACUAGAGGUAUGCAGGGGAGAAUGGAAUUCCUGGUGUAGCGGUGAAAUGCGCAGAUAUCAGGAGGAACACCGGUGGCGAAGGCGGUUCUCUGGGCAUGACCUGACGCUGAGGAGCGAAAGUGUGGGGAGCGAACAGG